CCGGCUAACUACGUGCCAGCAGCCGCGGUAAUACGUAGGGCGCAAGCGUUAUCCGGAAUUAUUGGGCGUAAAGAGCUCGUAGGCGGUUUGUCGCGUCUGCUGUGAAACCCCGAGGCUCAACCUCGGGCCUGCAGUGGGUACGGGCAGACUAGAGUGCGGUAGAGGAGAUUGGAAUUCCUGGUGUAGCGGUGGAAUGCGCAGAUAUCAGGAGGAACACCGAUGGCGAAGGCAAUCCCCUGGGCCUGCACUGACGCUCAUGCACGAAAGCGUGGGGAGCAAACAGGAUUAGAUACCCUGGUAGUCCACGCCCUAAACGAUGUCAACUGGUUGUUGGGUUUUUAUUAACUCAGUAACGAAGCUAACGCGUGAAGUUGACCGCCUGGGGAGUACGGCCGCAAGGUUAAAACUCAAAUGAAUUGACGGGGGCCCGCACAAGCGGUGGAGCAUGUGGUUUAAUUCGAUGCAACGCGAAGAACCUUACCAAGGCUUGACAUAUACGAGAACGGGCCAGAAAUGGUCAACUCUUUGGACACUCGUAAACAGGUGGUGCAUGGUUGUCGUCAGCUCGUGUCGUGAGAUGUUGGGUUAAGUCCCGCAACGAGCGCAACCCUCGUUCCAUGUUGCCAGCACGUAAUGGUGGGAACUCAUGGAAUACUGCCGGGGUCAACUCGGAGGAAGGUGGGGAUGACGUCAAAUCAUCAUGCCCCUUAUGUCUUGGGCUUCACGCAUGCUACAAUGGCCGGUACAAUGGGCUGCAAUACCGCAAGGUGGAGCGAAUCCCAAAAAGCCGGUCCCAGUUCGGAUUGAGGUCUGCAACUCGACCUCAUGAAGUCGGAGUCGCUAGUAAUCGCAGAUCAGCAACGCUGCGGUGAAUACGUUCCCGGGUCUUGUACACACCGCCCGUCAAGUCAUGAAAGUCGGUAACACCUGAAGCCGGUGGCCCAACCCUUGUGGAGGGAGCCGUCGAAGGUGGGAUCGGUAAUUAGGACUAAGUCGUAACAAGGUAGCCGUACCGGAAGGUGCGGCUGGAUCACCUCCUU
rnacentral:rRNA from 1 species